rnacentral:lncRNA from 1 species
CUUAGGAUGACAGGAUUUCAAAUGAGAAGGGGACUUUUAGAUAUCACAUGUUACCUGUGGAGAAACUGAGGCUCAGAGAACCUACAUGGCAUGUCCAACACCAUAUAAGUAUGAAGGAGCAGAUUGAGAGACACUUACAUCCUAGAGCAUGGGAGUCGAGUUUUCAGUCAUAUUUGAAUGCCCAAAGUCACUGUCAUCAUCCUUGGAUUAAGGGAAGACCUCCAAAAGAGGAGUGAGAGUAUUCCAGACCAACAUUUACCUCCUCCCCGACUCUGCCUGGUCCAACAUCUCCAAGUCUUUCCCCCUCACCCACUCCAUGAGCUACAAGGUGAGAGGAACCAUUCCCUUGGUAACAUUCUGUUCUCCUGGGCAACAGCAUGUCUAAUCCUAGGCUCUCUGCACCCAGCCUCAUAUCCCCAGAAGAAGUUGGAGGAAGAGGGUCCCCAGUCCAAAAGCGCAGGAGAAGGAAUGAACUUACAGGAGAAUGUCACCGUGGCCAUGGCAGUGGUCACCAUCUUAGCCUCCAUUUACUUCUUCCAUAAGGCCCAGAAAUAAGAAGACCUUGGGACCCUCAGACCUGAAGGCUACAAUCCUGCCUUGAAUAAUCACCCUGGACUCUUGGACUAAAUAAAUGUGACGGGCUCAUCCCGCCUGGUUCCUUC